rnacentral:tRNA from 2 species
UAGUAAGUGGUGUAGUGGAAGCACAGAGAGUUUUGAUCUCUCCGGGGAGGGUUCGAACCCCUUCUUUCUAA